rnacentral:rRNA from 1 species
UACGGAGGGGGCUAGCGUUGUUCGGAAUUACUGGGCGUAAAGCGUGCGUAGGUGGUUCGUUAAGUCUGAUGUGAAAGCCCUGGGCUCAACCUGGGAAUGGCAUUGGAAACUGGCGAUCUAGAGUGCGGUAGAGGGUAGUGGAAUUCCCGGUGUAGCAGUGAAAUGCGUAGAGAUCGGGAGGAACAUCCGUGGCUAAGGCGACUACCUGGACCAGCACUGACACUGAGGCACGAAAGCGUGGGGAGCAAACAGG